rnacentral:rRNA from 1 species
GUCUAUGGCUAUGCCACCCUGAACAAGCCCAGUGUCUGAUCUCGAAAGCUAAGCAGGGUCAGGCCUGGUUAGUACUUGAAUGGGAGACCACCUAGGAAGACCAGGUGCUGUAGGCA